AAACAUCUUUUCUUGUUAGUUUUUGAAGUAUGGCCUGCCCGCUGACGUUUAAGUUGAAGGGCCGCGGUAUUUUGACCGUGCAAAGGUAGCAUAAUCAUUAGUUCUUUAAUUGUGAUCUGGAAUGAAUGGCUUGACGAGGCAUGAGCUGUCUUAGUGUUGAAUGUUUUAUUGAAUUUGGUCUUUGAGUUAAAAUUCUUAGAUGUUUUUAUGGGACGAGAAGACCCUAUAGAGUUUAACAUUUGGUUUAUUUAUUUAUUGGUUGUUUGUUUGUUUUUUGGUAAGUGGGCCUUUUGUUUUGUUGGGGUGAUGAGAGGAAUGAUUUAACUCCUCUUGGUUUUGGUUAUAUUGAUUUAUAUUUAUUUGAUCCAUUUAUUUUGAUUAUAAGACUAAAUUACCUUAGGGA
rnacentral:rRNA from 1 species